GCGGCCGUAGUCUAGCCUGGUCAGGACGUCGGCCUGCCACGCCGGUGACCCGGGUUCAAAUCCCGGCGGCCGCA
rnacentral:tRNA from 1 species